rnacentral:rRNA from 1 species
AUUUAAAGUGGUACGCGAGCUGGGUUUAGAACGUCGUGAGACAGUUCGGUCCCUAUCUGCCGUGGGCGUUGGAGAAUUGAGAGGGGCUGCUCCUAGUACGAGAGGACCGGAGUGGACGCAUCACUGGUGUUCCAGUUGUCUCGCCAGAGGCAUUGCUGGGUAGCUACAUGCGGAAGAGAUAAGUGCUGAAAGCAUCUAAGCACGAAACUUGCCUCGAGAUGAGUUCUCCCACACUAUAAGUGUGUAAGGGUUGUUGGAGACUACGACGUAGAUAGGCUGGGUGUGUAAGUGUUGUGAGACAUUGAGCUAACCAGUACUAAUUGCCCGAGAGGCUUAACUAU